rfam:Echinops telfairi cont1.523762, whole genome shotgun sequence.
UCCUUGGGCCUUGCUUCCCUCCUCCUUUCUUGCUGCGGAGAAACAGAAGGCUGAUGUGAGUCACUCAAAGCAGUAUCCAAACCCUUUGCAUCUCCUGGGUCUAGAAAGGAAUCCAAGGAGCAAGGAUAAGCU